rnacentral:lncRNA from 1 species
UGCCAUGUUUAAAGGAAAGCAUUAUUCGCAAUGUCAACAAUAGAUUUUCAAGAAAUGUUUUAGAAAGACCCAGGAAAGAAAUAUUACAUUUAAAAAAAAUGAGGGGAAAAAAAAAAAGUUAAAAGCUUCCAUUCAUAAUUUGACUAUUGACAAAACAACCACUCAUAAGACAUUGACUUCAGAGACGAUUUACCACAAUGCAAAGACAACGGACAUAAUAAAUCAAUUAAGAGUAAAUAUUGAGAUUUUCCCUAGUUGAGUGAGGAAAUGCCCUACUGUGGUUGCACUCCAUUGCCAUCUCAAAAAACUUAAAUUUAUAAAUGAGUAGAAGUAAAGCAAAAGACACAAGCAUACCACAAUAACUGCAGGAAAUUAAUAUCAGACUAGAGUCAAACCUCAUGGUGACAGAAUAUUNUUUUAAAUUUCAGCAUUAGCAGAUCAUCGUGUGGGGUGAUCGUUAGGAUUGGGGGUUGUCAUUGCUUGGCAACCAUUGCUUGUGCUAGAAAAUUUAGGAAUUAUUUGCUCUGUUUGUGAAGUGUUGAGUUUUGAUUGCAAGUUGGUAGUUGAUUUUGUGCUUUACCUGUCAUAUAGUCACUGUGUGAGGCUUGUUGCGUGGAAAUUCAAACUUUUGUUUACAUACCUUCGUGUUGCAUUGAUUUUCCUGUUAGAACACCUGGACUUGACCCGUUCGAACAUUCCCUUGAUCUAAGAUCGUGAAUCUUACGAAACCCUGGGAAUCUAGAACGGUGUAUAUUGCGGCCGUAGGAUAACUUUGUGUGACCUAUCUGUGCUUUUGGUUGUUCUAGUUUUUUAAAAAUGUCUUUACGCUUUGAAGUUGGAAUUUUUAAUGGGAAAGGGGAUUUUUCAAUUUGGCAACAAAAGAUGAAGGGUAUUUUGGUCCAACAAAAAGUUUCAAAGGC